rnacentral:rRNA from 1 species
UACAGAGGUCUCAACCGUUGUUCGGAUUCAUUGGGCGUAAAGGGUGCGUAGGCGGGUCUUUAAGUCAGGGGUGAAAUCCUGGAGCUCAACUCCAGAACUGCCUUUGAUACUGAAGAUCUUGAGUUCGGGAGAGGUGAGUGGAACUGCGAGUGUAGAGGUGAAAUUCGUAGAUAUUCGCAAGAACACCAGUGGCGAAGGCGGCUCACUGGCCCGAUACUGACGCUGAGGCACGAAAGCGUGGGGAGCAAACAGG